rnacentral:rRNA from 1 species
CGUCUAUAUACGUAUAGCAUAUCAAUAAGCGGAGGAAAAGAAACUAACAAGGAUUCCCUUAGUAACGGCGAGUGAAGCGGGAGAGCUCAAAUUUGAAAUCUUCAAGGUUCUACCUUGACGAAUUGUAGUUUAAAGAAGUGUUUUCUGUUAGAUGAGUAGCAAAAGUUCCUUGGAAUGGGACAUCAUAGAGGGUGAGAAUCCCGUAUUUGGUUAUUCAUUCUAGCUUUGUGAUACACUUUCAAAGAGUCGGAUUGUUUGGGAAUGCAGUCCAAAAUGGGUGGUAAAUUUCAUCUAAAGCUAAAUAUUGGCGAGAGACCGAUAGCGAACAAGUACCGUGAGGGAAAGAUGAAAAGAACUUUGAAAAGAGAGUUAAACAGUACGUGAAAUUGUCAAAAGGGAAGCGUUUGACACCAGUGUUGUUUUUCCGAAAAUCAAUUACGAAUGUUUUAUUUUUGAGGAGUUAUGACUUCAUCGGCUUGCUCCUUUCUUUACGAAACUUUCUUAAUGCACUUUUCGGUUAACAAGUCAACAUCAAUUUCUUUUGUUGUAAAAGGGUAUGAGGAAGGUGGCUUUCUUUUCGGAGAAAGUGUUUAUAGCCUUGUGCCUCUACAAUCGGAGAGAUUGAGGUCUGCAGCGUAGAUCCUUCGGGGUUAGAUACAUUUGUGCUAAGUUAUAGCUUUUCAUAGACAACUUGUUGACUAUGUUUAGUCUUGUAGCUUACUCGCUUACUGCUAUUUUACCUACGCUUAGGAUGUUGACUGAUAUGUAGUCGUA